rnacentral:rRNA from 1 species
GGCGCAAGCCUGAUGCAGCCAUGCCGCGUGUGUGAAGAAGGCCUUCGGGUUGUAAAGCACUUUCAGUCGUGAGGAAGGUUCAUGCGUUAAUAGCGUAUUGAUUUGACGUUAGCGACAGAAGAAGCACCGGCUAACUCCGUGCCAGCAGCCGCGGUAAUACGGAGGGUGCGAGCGUUAAUCGGAAUUACUGGGCGUAAAGCGCAUGCAGGUGGUUUGUUAAGUCAGAUGUGAAAGCCCGGGGCUCAACCUCGGAAUAGCAUUUGAAACUGGCAGACUAGAGUACUGUAGAGGGGGGUAGAAUUUCAGGUGUAGCGGUGAAAUGCGUAGAGAUCUGAAGGAAUACCGGUGGCGAAGGCGGCCCCCUGGACAGAUACUGACACUCAGAUGCGAAAGCGUGGGGAGCAAACAGGAUUAGAUACCCUGGUAGUCCACGCCGUAAACGAUGUCUACUUGGAGGUUGUGGCCUUGAGCCGUGGCUUUCGGAGCUAACGCGUUAAGUAGACCGCCUGG